rnacentral:tRNA from 1 species
ACAGUAGUAGUUCAGUAGUAGAAUUUUCGCUUUCUGUGUGGAAGACCUGGGUUCGAUUCCCGUCCAGUGCA